GAAUUCAGGAGGAAAGGAAGCUAAGGCUUCGCUUAAGGAUGAACCUGCGUCCCAUUAGCUAGUUGGUAAGGUAACGGCCUACCAAGGCGACGAUGGGUAUCCGGCCUGAGAGGGUGAACGGACACAUUGGGACUGAGAUACGGCCCAAACUCCUACGGGAGGCAGCAGCUAAGAAUAUUCCGCAAUGGACGGAAGUCUGACGGAGCGACACCGCGUGGAUGAAGAAGGCUGAAAAGUUGUAAAAUUCUUUUGCUGAUGAAGAAUAAAGAUAAGAGGGAAUGCUUAUCAGAUGACGGUAGUCGGCGAAUAAGCCCCG
rnacentral:rRNA from 1 species